UAACCACCUGUUCAUUUUAUUAGUGUAAAAUGGAAGAUCAAACAAUAAGUAAAAAGGAACAUGAGCUCCAUUGAAUCUGUCCACAUAUGUAUAUUAAAUCAACCAAUGAAAACAGUAAGAUAUGUCACUUCAGCUUAAUUGCAUUGGAAUCGCUUUUUUCCAUUAUGCCAUUGAAACACGAGUAUAUAGUAUCUCAGCAAUAAAUUUUCUAAAAAAUCCUUUCAGUUUCCUUCGCAAGAUGAUACCUAUUCAUUUUCUGUAACGAUGGAGAUUGAUGUUCCUUUUUUAUAGGCCAUAAAAAAGCCCAAGGCCUUGCGGAUUCGCAAUCUCCUCUCCUCCAAAGCUUAUGCUGCUAUGGCCUCUUCUCUUUCAUAUCCAUCUCUUCCUCUCCGGUGAAGAAUUCGCUACUCCAGUCUUCCUCUACCAUCAACAUCUUCACCAGCCACAAUAGCUAUCUCCCUGGAUAAAUCGGAAAAGCUAUUGGUGCGCCGUCGAAGGAUUGUUGGGAGUAAACGUUCAAUGGUGUAUCUUCCUUCUCUUAUCUCUGUUAACCUGAUUACAUAGCCUUCUAGAUUAUUUUCUUUGGUUGUGAUGAAUUUUAGGGAUUCCUUGUGACGAUCUCUCAUAUUAACAAGCUUUAUCAGCCGGAGAAGCUGCUUCUAUAUUUGAGGUCAUACGAUGUUGUUAAGGCCCGCAUUUUAUUUUUUAUCUGGUUGUUUUCGAAUUCCCAAAAUUUGAUUGAGCUUUGUUUUUUUUUUUGUCAUAAGGCGAGAUUACAAGUUUGGAUCAGACAAGGUUAUAAUUGAUGGGCUACAAAUAUUCAAAAUGGUCUGAUUCAUUUUCUUUAAGUUCAACAUCUAAUGGCUCUAUCUCCCCACUUCCCCUGAUUUGAUUGUAUGUUUGUAUUAUCUGUAAUGGAAGUGUCCAUCUCUUUCCAGGGAUCACGUUUACAUGGUAUCUUUUCAUAUACACAAAUAAUCAUUCCAUAAGAAACUUUUAAUCUUUCCACCGAUUGCUGUAACUUUUAAUCUUUCCACCGAUUGCUGUAACUUUUAUACAAAUAGAUUACUAUGAAACAUGAGGAUUCAAUGCAUCUAUCACGGACUAUACUGCAAGAAGCAAUCGUUUGUGUAGAAGACAAGCAAAUGAGUGAAUUUUUCUUCCAUCUAAUCAGGAACCAAAGGAUUCCAAGCUCCAAAGGUACAUCAAGUGUAACUAUAUUUAUCUUCCUUUAAAGCUUUGCAUUGCUUAUAUGAAUCUUCUACCUUAGAGGCUAAAGAUGCAUGCCUGAACUACUCAUUAGAACUUUCAGGAUGGAAAAUCUAAUUAUUUAGGGCUGUACUUGGCUGAAAUAACUUGUGCAGGAUUCCUCCAGACGUGUGGUCAACAUGAGUAAGUUUAACUUAGUAUUUGUUAGGAUUGCAGAGCCUCAUUUUUUAAUCCUCGCUCCUUUAUACCUAAAUGUCUGCUCUAUUGAACAUACUUACAUUUCCUUUUCCUGGACGUCGUGGGAUCAUAAAGAAUUCAAGGUUAAUAUCAAUGGUUUAGUUGAGACUGCACCAGUUCCUGAAGAAGUCUAGAAUAUCCACUACGGUACUCCUUGGCCCAGAAAUAUUGUGUGCGAUGAUCCUGCCAUGAACAAGGUCUUCCUUGGAAACAAAGGUCUUAAUGAUGUAGAAAACGCCGAGCUGCCUAGGCUGGUUUAUGUUCUCGUGAGGAGAGAGCCCAACUCACCAUCAUAAUAAGGCUGAAGAAAACAAAUUUAUUGGUUUUUCAAGGAUCUAGAAAAUAGAGAAUCUUAGUUUGGAAUCUGGGACAUACACAGCCGGCUUUGCAACUCUUGAAGUAGUGUUCAUGAACAUCGCUAGACGUGCUAAACUCAGUGAGCUAAAGUGCACUUUAGAGAAGUUUGGGACAAAAUUUUGAGGUUAUGGUUGCAAUUUACAAUGUAUGGGGUCAGAAACGGAGUUAUCAAAAGUUCAGGGACCUGUCUUGCAAAAUCUCCAAAACCCACCAUUGGAGAGAUCGAUUGUUCUCCGGAUUGGUUGACGACGAUCCCGGCGGCUACCACGGCGGGUUAAGAGCAAGACGACGAGGAUGAGCACCGGUGAGAGCUAACGACGACAAUUGAGCUCGGGAUUGGUCUUGCCAUAACUGAGAGAAGUUGCAGAUUCGUGGAGGAGGAGCCGCGGCAGAGAGCUUCGUGGUGGAGCAAAGCAGGGGAGACAGAGACGACCAACCAUGAUCUCCAAUCUCGAGAUGCAGAGCGGCUUCAUGGCGUGGACAAGAGAAGCGGACUUGCGGCGGAGAAGAUGGAUCGUGUGAUGGCUUCAACAGACCAUGGAGACCGCAAGUGAUCUUCGCGGCUAGCAGCGGGUUGCGGCAAGGUUUCGACGAAACCAUUUAGUAGAUUUCGCAAGCUGUGGCCGCGACGUGAAGUUAUCAACCGCAGGUAAGCAUCGCGAGCAUCAGGUGGUCGCGGCUGUGUCACGACAGAUUCGUCCAGGGCGUUUCGCAGGCCAUGUUCACGACACGUGGAGGUCGCGGCUUAUGGGCUGAUUUCGCUGGCUUUGAUCGCGGGCAACGGGUGGUCGUGGCCGUGGUCCGAAACAUUCAUUUUAUCAUUUUACCCUUUUGUUUCUAAGCUAGUAUAAAUACAUUGUAAACUUAAUCUUAAAUCAUAUCUUGUUUUCUAUUUAAUCAAAAGCUACUUCUGGGUGAAAGAUAUCGUAUUCUUUUGUGUUUACUUGAUUGCUUUGAUCAUUAAUCAUGUUUAGACUUAGAUCAACUAAUGAUUUAGUGUCUACCAUGAUAAUGAGUGAGUAGUCAUUUUUGGAUUCAUGGGUUAGGAUGAUUAGGAUGAUUAAGUGAUGAUCUAGAAAGUUUAGAGUAGAUUAAUAUGUUUCUAUGCUUGAUCGAGUGACCUUAAUGCUAAUCUAGAGUUGGCCAUUUUAAAUUAAAAAUCUAGAUAUUUUCAUUGCCCGGGAGGUGUUCUAUGAAAUGUCUGAGCCAACUCAACAUGCUCUUAGCUUACCCUACCAAAGGCAUUUGAUGUUAGGGGAGUUAAGAAAGUUGAAUGAUUUGUUCUUAAUGAUUGCUUGAUUGACACAAACCAAAGAAAUUUGAUGUUUGAUCAAUGAGAGUAAAUGAACUUUUGUCUUGACAAAGAACUUGCUUAGAAUUGUUAUCUAAACUUAGGAAAUUGUGUUGAUUGAAUCUUUGCCAUUUUAGAUUGAAUCUUAGUCAUUUGAAAUCAAAUUCCCAUACCCAUGAUUCCUCCUUUGUCCAUUUGCUUGAAAGUUGCUAGUUAAUUGUGUUAGAGUCUUGUUAGCUUAAUCAAAUCACUUCAUUACAUUGAAUGCAUUUAGCUUAAGUAUGAACCUGAAUUCUCUUUAAAUUGAAAUACUUAGAAAUGGAUUGACAUCUAAAAUACUACAUUGAUUUGAAUUAGGAUUUAAAUAAAGUCCGUAUCAAAUUUGGCGUCGUUGCCAAUUCUAAGUUGAUUUUGACAUUGAGAUUUGGUACUUGCUUGAGACUAAAUCUUAUUUUCUUAUAUCUAGUUAUUGAUUCUCUCUCCUAGCUCUUUUGAAUGUCAGGUGCAUGAACUUGAGGAGUUGAAGAUAUUAGAGCUUUUGAAAGGGAGAUUGCAAAGAAGAGAAGAAGAAAGGAAAGCUCAUUUGGACAUAGUUGAGCUUGAGAUGGAGGGGAAUCAGCGCCAACCUAUAGCUAUUGGCACCUAUGAUCAGCCCAAUAUCCAUGGGAGUAGGCUGGGUAUCAGGGCACCAGCUAUGGAGAACAACAACUUUGAGAUCAAAUCCAGCUUGAUCAACACGAUAGAGAACAACAAGUAUCAUGGUCUUGCUUUGGAGGAUCCACUUGAUCACCAGGAUCAAUUUGACAAGUACUGUGGUUUGUCAAAAACAAAUGGUGUCUCUGAAGAUGCCUUCAAGCUGAGAUUGUUUUCAUUCUCUUUGGGAGACAAAACUCACACAUGGGAGAAAAACCUUCCAAUUGACUCUAUCACCACUUGGAAUGAAUUCAAGAAAGCCUUCCUCAACAAGUUCUUCUCUACCUCAAGGACUGCCAAACUUAUGAAUGAGAUCUCUGGAUUUCAACAGAGGAAUCUUGAAGGUUUUAGUGAAGCAUGGGUAAGGUUCAGAAGCUACUGGUCUCAAUGCCCACAUCAUGGUUUCACCAAGGAGUGUCUGCUCAGUACCUUCUAUAAGCCAACUGGAUACUGCUAGCAAUGGUUUUUUCUUGGGGAGAAAUGAAGUAGAUGCUGAGGAGCUUUUAGAGAAGAUGGCUCAGAGUGAGUCAGUCUAAGUGAUAACCAUGACAGGAGCAAUAUAGAUAGUGGAGGAGAUGAUCAGAACACAAAGAGAGAGUUGAAAGCUCUACAAGAUAAGAUGGAUUUGUUUCUUUCAGACAGAGCCAAACAAGAGAAAGUAAACUUUGUUGGUGAACAUAAGCAAGAGAAGAUAGUUGUGGUUAAUGAAGUUGAUGGUCUAGAAGGUCAAGAAGAGAUAUGUUUCGUUAAUGCUAAUGGGACAUGGUACAAAAAGGAGCCUCACUUUCAAUACCAAAACAACUACCAGCAAAAGCUCUUCUACAACAACCAACAAGGAAGUUACCAAGCUAGCCAAAACUACUCUCAAAGUUUCUCCUCCAAAGGAAAUCAGUCUACACAAGGCCAAGUCGGAUCUUCUACUUCUGCUCCACAAGAAAGUAACACUGAUGCAAUGUUGAAACAGAUCUUGGAGUCUCAAACUAGAAGUGAGAAGCACAUUGGAUAUGAGUUGAAGAACCUUCACACAAAAGUUGAUGGAAGCUACAAUGAUCUCAACAACAAAUUCUCAAACCUUGCCUCUCACUUCAAGGCUUUGGAGAAUCAGUUUGCCUCUAUGCCUUCAACCUCCAAGCGCCCAAUGGGAUCUCUACCAGAGAAAUCAGAGCAGAAUCCCAAA